rnacentral:rRNA from 1 species
GAUGAACGCUGGCGGCGUGCAUAAUACAUGCAAGUCGAGCGAACAAACGAGGAGCUUGCUCCUCUGACGUUAGCGGCGGACGGGUGAGUAACACGUGGAUAACCUACCUAUAAGACUGGGAUAACUUCGGGAAACCGGAGCUAAUACCGGAUAAUAUAUUGAACCGCAUGGUUCAAUAGUGAAAGACGGUUUUGCUGUCACUUAUAGAUGGAUCCGCGCCGCAUUAGCUAGUUGGUAAGGUAACGGCUUACCAAGGCAACGAUGCGUAGCCGACCUGAGAGGGUGAUCGGCCACACUGGAGCUGAGACACGGACCAGACGCCUACGGUAGGCAGCAGUAGGGAAUCUUCCGCAGUGGGCGAAAGCCUGACGGAGCAACGCCGAGUGAGUGAUGAAGGUCUUCGGAUCGUAAAACUCUGUUAUUAGGGAAGAACAAAUGUGUAAGUAACUAUGCACGUCUUGACGGUACCUAAUCAGAAAGCCACGGCUAACUACGUG